rnacentral:lncRNA from 1 species
AUGAGCUGUGGUGUAGGUCACAGACACGGCUGGAAUCCCGCAUUGAUGUGGCUGUGGUGUAGGGUGGAAGCUGCAGCUCCGAUUAGACCCCUAGCCUGGGAACCUCCAUAUGUUGAAGGAAUGGCCCUAGAAAAAACAAAAAGACCAAAAAAAAAAAAAAAAAAGCGUCCCUACAGCCGAGGCCCACUUUCGCUCCAAGAUGCUCCGCACCCUCAACCCCCAGCCAAGAGAUUAAUUUCUAACUUGGUCAUUUCAGAAACAUGCUUUGACGGCCCGCCAUGUGCGAGGCUGUCUUCUUCUGGGACGGGGAUUGGAAUGAAGGCUGGGGCUGGGGGUGGGGAAGCCUUUUCUGCAGAAGAUCUUUUUUUCCCAGAUGUUUCUUAAGGAUUCAUAUUCAAAUUUAUCAUGUUCGUUCCAGGAAACCGAUUUCUAUCAUCUCACAGAACUCUGUGGGAUUCUCCAUGGGCCAAUCGGCUGGGCCCCCAAAGAACCCCAAAUGGGCCUUUGUUACCCUGUGAUUUAUAAUCUUCUUCAUCUUUAACUGGUUUACUUGGCUUUUGCGAGGAGAUGGCAGGGGGAAAGGGGGAAUCAUUUGUCUGAUCGAUGGAUUUGCUUGUAAUUCCCUUUAAUUCCCUGGGAUGAGAAAACGGUGCUUUUAUUCUUUGGAGCACAGUCACUUUUAAAAAUAGUCAUUCCUCAAAGAGCCAGUAGGAGCUAAACCGGAGGCACUGUCUUCUAUGGAGGAAACGAGAGCAAUGCAGAUGCGUUCCUAAACAACGCCUUGGGCACCUCCUUGUGAGGAGCCUCGCCCUCGGUCCCAAAGAACACAAUCUGUUCCAGGAACCCAACCCUCCCAGAGGCCCGCUGCCGCCCUGCAGGACCAGGGAGGAGGCAGGCGACCCCACUACUCGGGUUGAAGCCUGACCGCACGGUCUCCUCCAGGAGGUGGGGGAGCUGCCCAGGCAACUGCGAAGGAGUGUGGGUGGCAGACGUGCCUCCGAUCCAGCUGAGGUUACUCUGGUCAGGAUGCAGAAAACAGAUCCUUUGACUCAGGUGGGUCCCACGGGUGGGUCCCACGCCAGCCCACCCCACCCGACCUGACCCGACCCGCAAGCCAUGAGUGUUUGCUGGGCCAGUGGCCACUAGUCCUGUCAAUGCCCAGGGCAGGGGAUGCACAGAGGGACAGGCCGGGGGCAGGGCUGCCAGGCUCUGGAUGGCUGAGACCUGGAGGGCGGA